CAUCACUACGCUAGAUGCAUAUCAAUAAGCGGAGGAAAAGAAACUAACAAGGAUUCCCCUAGUAACGGCGAGUGAAGCGGGAAGAGCUCAAAUUUGAAAUCUUAAAAGGUUUUCCUUUUACGAAUUGUAGUUUAAAGAAGUGUUUUCUGUUGAAGUUUUGGUACAAGUUCUUUGGAAUAGGACAUCAUAGAGGGUGAGAAUCCCGUAUUUGACCUUAAUUUUUCAACUUUGUGAUACACUUUCAAAGAGUCGGAUUGUUUGGGAAUGCAGUCCAAAAUGGGUGGUAAAUUUCAUCUAAGGCUAAAUAUUGGCGAGAGACCGAUAGCGAACAAGUACCGUGAGGGAAAGAUGAAAAGAACUUUGAAAAGAGAGUUAAAUAGUACGUGAAAUUGUCAAAAGGGAAGCGUUUGGCACCAGUGUUGUUUUUCUAAAAAUCAAUUUAAAAUUUGCUUAUGUUAAGUGUUUUAGACUUAAUCGGCUAUACAUUUAAUUCUUUGUAAAUUUUGAAUGCACUUUUUAGUUAACAAGUCAACAUCAAUUUUUUUGCUGUAAAAAGAUAAGAGGAAGGUGGCUUGAGAUUCGUUUCAAGUGUUUAUAGCCUCUUGCCCAUGCAGUAGGAGAGAUUGAGGUCUGCAGCAUAGAUCCUUCGGGGCUAGAUGCUUUUGUGCUAGAAGCUAGUAUUAUAUAGACAACUUGUUGAUUAUGUAAUAUAUUAGUUUCUACUCGCUAAAGUUAUUUUACCUACGCUUAGGAUGUUGACUGAUAUGUAGUCGUA
rnacentral:rRNA from 1 species